AGAGUUUGAUCCUGGCUCAGAAUGAACGUUGGCGGCGUGGAUUAGGCAUGCAAGUCGGACGGGCCGCAAGGCCAGUGGCGCAAGGGUGAGUAAGGCGAAGGUAACCAACCCCGAGGGUGGGCAUAGCCGGGGGAAACUCCGGGUAAUUCCCAGCGACAUGACGACCCGGCAUCGGGAUGUCAUCAAAGAUUUAUCGCCUCGGGACGGGCCUUCGUGGUAUUAGGUUGUUGGCGGGGUGACGGCCCACCAAGCCUGCGAUGCCUACCGGGCGUGCGAGCGUGGCCCGGCACACUGGGACUGAGACACUGCCCAGACUCCUACGGGAGGCUGCAGUCGAGAAUCUUCGGCAAUGGGCGCAAGCCUGCCGAGCGACGCCGCGUGGAGGAUGAAGGCUCGGGUUGUAAACUCCUGUCGAGGGGGAGGAAGGGCAAGCUUGCCGAUCCCUGGAGGAAGCACGGGCUAAGUUCGUGCCAGCAGCCGCGGUAAGACGAACCGUGCGAACGUUAUUCGGAAUCACUGGGCUUAAAGCGCGUGUAGGCGGNNCGCCACGUCGGCUGCUGAAAUCCCCCGGCUCAACCGGGGAACGGGCACCGAUACGAGCGGCCUCGAGGGGGGUAGGGGGACCUGGAACUUCCGGUGGAGCGGUGAAAUGCGUUGAGAUCGGAAGGAACGCCCGUGGCGAAAGCGAGGUCCUGGCCCUUUCUGACGCUGAGCCGAAAGCCAGGGGAGCGANNGGGAUUAGAUACCCNNGUAGUCC
rnacentral:rRNA from 1 species